UACGUAGGCAGCAAGCGUUGUUCGGAAUUACUGGGCGUAAAGAGUGUGUAGGCUGUGCUCUAAGUCUGGUGUGAAAUCUCCCGGCUUAACUGGGAGGGUGCGCCGGAAACUGGGGUGCUAGAGUAUGGGAGAGGCAAGCGGAAUUCCUGGUGUAGCGGUGAAAUGCGUAGAUAUCAGGAGGAACACCUGUGGUGUAGACAGCUUGCUGGACCAUUACUGACGCUGAGACACGAAAGCGUGGGUAGCAAACAGG
rnacentral:rRNA from 1 species